UGUAUCUACUUAUUCUUAAUUCUUAAUGAUUGCUAGUGAAGGUCCCAUUUUUACCCAAAAUUUGCCCAUGGGUAAAAAUAAUUUACCCAUUCUCCUCACAAAAUCAACCCGUUUCUGCACCGGAUACUCCACAUUCAAAACGGGUAAAAUCACAUUCAAAUUUAAAACAAUCAGAUAUGGUUGCAUUAAAACUGGAGUCUGAUUUGAUUUAAACCAGCACAUCCUACGCAAAUGAAGGCUAAUGGAUCCCAGUUAUGUCUUCCUCAGCCUAAUCAAACAAAGAAUACACUAUCGAUAACAAUGGCCAGUCUGAAAAAAACUUGAGAGUGAUAAUGUACUAAUAGAACCACCGCACGUCGUUGAAAUUUUUAAUAUGCUCAUGUCUGUUAAUGAACUCACAAUCUCUGCAUGAUUGAUCUGGAGAUUCUUACAUUCCACUUCUAGAAACAGUAGCAUUACAAUGGGCGACCGCCCACUUCGAAAAAUUCAGCACGUUUCUAAACAAGGUUUAUGAAGGUGAUAGUUUAACUCCACUUCCCACAACUCAAGGAGGAGACACAUCUAAUGCCUGAGGAUAUGGAAGUCCUGUAUGUUGGGUCACUAAACGUGGAUAUUAUCCCAAUAGAGCAGGAUGAUGCUGCCCAAGUUCUGUUGGAGAGGUUUAAAUGUUUGGUCGUUCAAUGUGGGAAGCCUCUAUAGCAGCAAAUAAGUUGUUCUUACAGAAAGUGAUUGAGGUGAUAAAUCCAGAAGAUGAUUUUGUCUGGAUUCAUGAUUAUCAUUUAAUGGCGUUGCCAACUUUUCUAAGGCGUCCAUUCAACCGAUUGAGGAUAGGUUUUUUUCUUCACAGCCCUUUCCUUUCUUCUAAGAUUAAUAGGAUCUUCACAGCCAUUUCCUAAGGCGUCCAUUCAAAGGCAGGCUCUCGGAACUCUUGAUAUCAAUUCCCGUGUUCUUCAAACACCUGUAUUUGUGCAUAGAUCUGUCCGCAAGGAGAAUCAGAAUCAUCAUGUACAACGCAGAAUUCUUCCUCUGGAGGUGUAAACCUUAUUGGUCAUGGUAAUGUUAUUGGCAAAACAAACAAUGCGAGGAUAAAGUUGACAUCUACAGAUGUUUGUGAAAGUUCAGAGGAGGAAGAGGUCAUGGAGGUGAUUUUGGCGCUUGGUGUUGGUACAAAACUAUAGCACUUCUGGAAGAAAGUGGAUUCAAAGUUACUGCUAUUGAUUUAACUGGCUCAGGCAUUAACUCUUUUGAUACAAAUAACAUCUUGAAUCUUUCACAUUACACAAAGCCGCUUGCUGAUUUUCUUGAGAACCUUAAUGAAGUGGAGAAGCUCCAAAGCGUCGAGGCCGUGUUCUUAGAAACAACUGAUAAUGCGUAGUCUACAAAUUAUAAAGCAAACAGGUGCAGAAGAACGUGAGCAGGGUCUGCUGCCCAUUAUUUUUGAAAUUGAGUUACAUGGAUCCAAAACCAACGUAUAAGGUAUACUUUUUACCAAGACACUGGAAAUAUCUUCUUUGUUGUAUUAUUUUUAAAAUUGAGUUACAUGGAUCUACCUUGCUUAAAGGUGAAUUAGACUAGAUCAUGUCAAUACGCAGUUUAUAUUUUUUGCAGAUUCUUUUGGCUAAUCGGAUCAAGGUUUAGUCAUAUCUAUGAUGUGGUAUAGUCAUUUUUGGUGGUUAAAGACAUGCAAAACCUACAGCUGAAUGAUAUGAUGUGUUGCUAUUAAUGUAGGCUAUAAGGUUAGACAUGCAAAAAAUAAAAUAGCUUUUCUUAAUUGAUAUCAGUUUAGAUUUGUAUUGGAUUAUGCUUUAGAUUUACAGUUAAAAGGUAAUACAGAUUAGUCUAAAAAUAGUGUAAUAUUCAUAUAAAGAUUAGUCUGCGAAAAGUGUAAUAUUGCCCGACUAUGUUCUGAGGUUUGUGCAGGCCUUUGAAAGGGUUUACUGCCCCCAACAAUUUACUAAAUGGAACCAUUUCAAAAUCAUUUUACGGACUCGGCGAACCUCAUCAGAGUAUACUUUUAGUCGGGCACUUAAUUAGACUUUUACAUGUAAGACAACAAAUUUGCAAAAUAUAUACAAUAAGGAAAAUCAAGCCGUAAGAAAGUAUAAAAUAUGAAAGUCAAGUAUAGGUAAAUGGUAGUAGGCCUAACGCAGAGAGAUUUACAAUCCUAGGCGACUGUCUCUGUUCACCAGGACCAUAUAUAGCAGCUUAAUAAAUUGCACAGGUAGUAAGACUUGAUUUGUAUUUUUUAUAAUAUAGAGAGUAAUUAAUAUGUAUGAUUUGCAGUUUUUAAGUCAGGUCCACAUGCUAGGUCAUAUGAGUUCGUGUAGAGAUGAUCAUCAAAGGAGGUAAAUGUGAGCCGUAAAUUGCAGACAAUGAUAUAGUACUAGGAGUUGGAGCUGCAAGAGGUGUAUUCGAUAAAUGAUUCUGAGAGUUGGUUCUCACUAUCUUUUAAUAUAGACAUGAUACUUUCUAAUCAUAAUUAUGUUGAUUAAAUUCAUUAAAACACAUUCCAAGUUUUUUUUGUCUAUUCCCGGUUACAUUCAUUGCCGUCACGACAAAGCCUCAAGUAUAGAUAAUUUACAACGAGUUUAAGACAAAAGUCAUGUUAAGCUAAUGACUACUGCAUCGAUGUAUUGCAGUAGUAAAUUACUUUAUCCUAUAUAACUCAAUGUUUGAUAAUAUAUGUAUCGAUGACUGUUGCUUUUUCUUUCUCUUUUUUUAUAUUUUCAUAGAAGGCUUAAGGUGGUAAUGGCAUUAGAAAAUGUAUGAAGACAAAAGACAUAAACAACAUAUUAUGUGAAUUAAAUUAUUAAAUUAUACUCUUGAUUUAGUACGCAUCUGGACUCUUUAAAAAUUAUCACAAAAAUUAUAGUUUUCGAUCUGCUCUUUGGUCUUUGGAUAAACAGUUUAUAACUGUAAUUCACUGCCCUUAUGUGGUUUGAGAUUCUACAGUCCUUAAAAGGCAUAAGCUUUGAUUUUUAACGCAAUUACUGAUGCAGAGAAAUCAGGCAGUGAGGUUUUCAUUUGGGAGAUGUUUUGCACAGUGAGUUGUUGGUCUUUAUUUAAUAGUUGUUCACUACUGAUCCUUGGCCAUGGGAGUUCCUUUUCUGUUGGGCAGCUAUUUUGCAAUAAGUAUGCGCAUAGGAACUGCAAUUGUGUUUGAUUGGGAAAAGCUUAAACCAAGAAAGGCGGAGCUGAUGGUUCCAACAGUCGCUUCAGGGCUAAUAUGUGAAGAGGGACUCUGGAUCCUCCCAUCCUCCAUUCUUGCUUUGGCAAAGAUAAAGCCUCCUAUCUGCAUGACAUUCCUAGCUUCUUAAGUACAACACCAAGUUUAGUAGUUUGAAUACUUGAGUAGAUAAGGUGUCCAUUAAAGUCUGACUCCUAAACCCCUCUGUUUUGAUAAGUGUUCUUUACAUAAAAUGUUUUGGAAGAUGGCUUUGUUCCUAACUGCAUGAUGUAAAAUAGCAUAAUAUAUUACAUUGGCUGUCUAUACUGAAAUGUGCAGAAGUAGAAGUCUGAUUGUGUCUUCGUUCUCCUUCACGCACAACGUCUUCGGGUUAUAUCUUCGCCCAAUAUUUACACGAAUUAGUGUUUAUAGCGGAUUUUUUGGGCUAAAAUUAGACGUGUCUUAUUCAUUUACAUCUUUUUGGAUGUAUUUAGUUUUACAUGAUCUUUUUAUCUUUAUCUUUAUAAGUCAAUAAAACAAGUUUAAGAUCGUUAUAACUCUGUUAAACUGAAUAGAGCUUGUAACAAAACCUCUGACUUCCCAAAACCCCCCCUUUAGUUUCAGAUUCUCGUCUGAACUGAGCUCAACUCGUUCCCCUUCACAUGCCCAAGUCCAAAGAACCUGCUCGCCGUGACACGCAUAUUUAGCGCGCAAACCAAUUCUUUCUUUUCUCUUUAUGUAUGUACCAAGUACAAUACAAUUAUUAGGAUUCAAAAUUUUCUUUUGGAUUAAAAGUAAUAUACUUUUGCAGCGAGAAACAAAGACGUUGGAUCUGAGAUUCAAUUCAUCGGAACAUGGGGAAUACGAUGACUAGAAGAUAUUGCUACAUGAUUAUUGAUCGAUGUUUUAACAUGUUUUUUUAGCUUUUUGUCAUUUUAUGAAUGUUUUUUGUGUGUAUUCACACCACAAUCAAGGUACGCUAUUUUAAACUUUUGAAGAUUCGUUAUUGUUAUAUUGAUUUUGUAGGGUUUUAUGUUUAUAAGUGUUAGAUGUAGACGUGAAUUUUGACAGUCUUGAAUUCAUGUAUCUGCUACUUGUUAUUUUUUCUCGAUCACUUUGUUAUGAGAUGUUGAAGACUAGUACUAUAGUUGUUUUGGUUAAUCGCCAUAGUCUUUUGAAGGAUUAUUUCUUGUUUAAAAGUUUAAGU